rnacentral:rRNA from 1 species
GACGAACGCUGGCGGCGUGCUUAACACAUGCAAGUCGAACGGAAAGGCCCUGCUUUUGUGGGGUGCUCGAGUGGCGAACGGGUGAGUAACACGUGAGUAACCUGCCCUUGACUUUGGGAUAACUUCAGGAAACUGGGGCUAAUACCGGAUAGGAGCUCCUGCUGCAUGGUGGGGGUUGGAAAGUUUCGGCGGGUGGGGAUGGACUCGCGGCUUAUCAGCUUGUUGGUGGGGUAGUGGCUUACCAAGGCUUUGACGGGUAGCCGGCCUGAGAGGGUGACCGGCCACAUUGGUACUGAGAUACGGCCCAGACUCCUACGGGAGGCAGCAGUGGGGAAUAUUGCACAAUGGGCGGAAGCCUGAUGCAGCAACGCCGCGUGCGGGAUGACGGCCUUCGGGUUGUAAACCGCUUUCGCCUGUGACGAAGCGUGAGUGACGGUAAUGGGUAAAGAAGCACCGGCUAACUACGUG